rnacentral:rRNA from 1 species
UCUCCUCCCGGGGGGGUUUUUUUAAAGUUUUUUUUUUUCCUCUCAGGACGAACGCUGGCGGCGUGCCUAAUACAUGCAAGUCGAGCGGACAGAUGGGAGCUUGCUCCCUGAUGUUAGCGGCGGACGGGUGAGUAACACGUGGGUAACCUGCCUGUAAGACUGGGAUAACUCCGGGAAACCGGGGCUAAUACCGGAUGGUUGUUUGAACCGCAUGGUUCAAACAUAAAAGGUGGCUUCGGCUACCACUUACAGAUGGACCCGCGGCGCAUUAGCUAGUUGGUGAGGUAACGGCUCACCAAGGCAACGAUGCGUAGCCGACCUGAGAGGGUGAUCGGCCACACUGGGACUGAGACACGGCCCAGACUCCUACGGGAGGCAGCAGUAGGGAAUCUUCCGCAAUGGACGAAAGUCUGACGGAGCAACGCCGCGUGAGUGAUGAAGGUUUUCGGAUCGUAAAGCUCUGUUGUUAGGGAAGAACAAGUACCGUUCGAAUAGGGCGGUACCUUGACGGUACCUAACCAGAAAGCCACGGCUAACUACGUGCCAGCAGCCGCGGUAAUACGUAGGUGGCAAGCGUUGUCCGGAAUUAUUGGGCGUAAAGGGCUCGCAGGCGGUUUCUUAAGUCUGAUGUGAAAGCCCCCGGCUCAACCGGGGAGGGUCAUUGGAAACUGGGGAACUUGAGUGCAGAAGAGGAGAGUGGAAUUCCACGUGUAGCGGUGAAAUGCGUAGAGAUGUGGAGGAACACCAGUGGCGAAGGCGACUCUCUGGUCUGUAACUGACGCUGAGGAGCGAAAGCGUGGGGAGCGAACAGGAUUAGAUACCCUGGUAGUCCACGCCGUAAACGAUGAGUGCUAAGUGUUAGGGGGUUUCCGCCCCUUAGUGCUGCAGCUAACGCAUAAGCACUCCGCCUGGAGACUACGGC